UCCUUAGACCUGUGCAAUGUUAUUUUUGGAAACCGCUUCAGGGUAGGAAUACAGCAGAGCAGCUAAACUUAAUGUGUGCCGCAGCCAUCUGAGGGAAG
rnacentral:SRP_RNA from 1 species